GGCGACGAUCCGUAGCUGGUCUGAGAGGAUGAUCAGCCACACUGGGACUGAGACACGGCCCAGACUCCUACGGGAGGCAGCAGUGGGGAAUAUUGGACAAUGGGCGCAAGCCUGAUCCAGCCAUGCCGCGUGAGUGACGAAGGCCUUAGGGUUGUAAAGCUCUUUUGGUGGGGAAGAUAAUGACGGUACCCACAGAAUAAGCUCCGGCUAACUUCGUGCCAGCAGCCGCGGUAAUACGAAGGGAGCUAGCGUUGUUCGGAAUCACUGGGCGUAAAGCGCACGUAGGCGGAUUUGUCAGUCAGGGGUGAAAUCCCGGGGCUCAACCUCGGAACUGCCUUUGAUACAGCAAGUCUUGAGUUCGAGAGAGGCGGGUGGAAUUCCUAGUGUAGAGGUGAAAUUCGUAGAUAUUAGGAAGAACACCGGUGGCGAAGGCGGCCCACUGGCUCGAUAC
rnacentral:rRNA from 1 species